UAAAGAAUUUCGGUCAUCGAUGGGGAUGCGUUCCAUUAGCUUGUUGGCGGGGUAACGGCCCACCAAGGCAUCGAUGGAUAGGGGUUCUGAGAGGAAGGUCCCCCACAUUGGAACUGAGACACGGUCCAAACUCCUACGGGAGGCAGCAGUGAGGAAUAUUGGUCAAUGGGCGCUAGCCUGAACCAGCCAAGUAGCGUGAAGGAUGACUGCCCUAUGGGUUGUAAACUUCUUUUAUAUGGGAAUAAGGUGCAGUAUGUAUACUGCUUUGCAUGUACCUUAUGAAUAAGGAUCGGCUAACUCCGUGCCAGCAGCCGCGGUAAUACGGAGGAUCCGAGCGUUAUCCGGAUUUAUUGGGUUUAAAGGGAGCGUAGGCGGGUUGUUAAGUCAGUUGUGAAAGUUUGCGGCUCAACCGUAAAAUUGCAGUUGAUACUGGCAUCCUUGAGUACAGUAGAGGUAGGCGGAAUUCGCGGUGUAGCGGUGAAAUGCUUAGAUAUCACGAAGAACUCCGAUUGCGAAGGCAACCUGCUGGACUGUAACUGACGCUGAUGCUCGAAAGUGUGGGUAUCAAACAGGAUUAGAUACCCUGGUAGUCCACACAGUAAACGAUGAAUACUCGCUGUUUGCGAUAUACAGUAA
rnacentral:rRNA from 1 species